AUUGAACGCUGGCGGAAUGCUUUACACAUGCAAGUCGAACGGUAGAGGGGGCAACCCCUUGAGAGUGGCGAACGGGUGAGUAAUAUAUCGGAACGUGCCCAGUCGUGGGGAUAACGUAGCGAAAGUUACGCUAAUACCGCAUACGAUCUAAGGAUGAAAGCGGGGGAUCGCAAGACCUCGCGCGAUUGGAGCGGCCGAUAUCAGAUUAGGUAGUUGGUGAGGUAAAGGCUCACCAAGCCAACGAUCUGUAGCUGGUCUGAGAGGACGACCAGCCACACUGGAACUGAGACACGGUCCAGACUCCUACGGAGGCAGCAGUGGGGAAUUUUGGACAAUGGGCGCAAGCCUGAUCCAGCAAUGCCGCGUGCAGGAUGAAGCU
rnacentral:rRNA from 1 species